GUUGUUAUGUGGGGAAAUCAGUUGUUCCUUUUUUUGUUUAUUCAUUUUUACUUAUUAGAAGUAAAUGAAAAUUAACUUAGAAAAUGAAUUGAGCAUCUGGGUGAACUUGAUGUAAAGGAAAGGAAUUUUAUUUUAUUUCUUUACUAUUUUGUUUCGUCUUGAUUAAGUCCAUCUGAUAUAUUUAUUCCCCAUAUAAUUAAUGACAAAAGUGUUGAUUCUGUAGGAAUUUUGUACAGCAAAGGAUGAACAAAGCCAAAUGCUAAAGGAAUUCUAUGGAGCAAAGGAUGAACAAAGUCAAAUGCUAAAGAUACAAUGUCAAACGAAAGUCCAUGAAAAAGAAAAAGGUAUGAACAGAAUAAUCAUUGUUUAAACUGUAGUACCAAUUUUAACAAAUACUUUAUUAUGUACUUAUUGUUGACAAUCAAUCUUUGUUGUUUUCUAUGGAACAAAGUCCUGUACUGACGAAUAGCAAUGUCAUUCAAACUAUGAGCAAUGUUGAAGGUAAUUUUAUUAUUAAAAAAAACCUAAUUGAUAUACCUUUUAUGGAAUUUUGUUUUACAUUCGAUUCCUUCAACCAGUAGUACAUAAGGAAGAAUGAGUGUACAAUGCUUUUAUGAUGUACUCGUUAUGGAUUGUUGGUUUAUACAAUAUGUUCCUUCAACCAGUAGUACAAAAGGAAGAAAUGACGUACAAGGUACAUAUCAAUAUUUGCAAAUCUUUUACUUUUACUACAUAUUUAUUCCAUUAUUGUACAACUAAUUUGCAGUUAAAAUGUACAUUUACCUAUGCAUUGUUUCUGUUAUUUCAAAAACAUUAAGUAUUCACGAAGUUGCAAAUUUUGAGUUUGAAAGACAUGAACAAAGCAUUGAUACAUCAAUUCUAUUAAGGAACUAUGGCGAUCAAAGUAAGUAAUGUUCUAUUUGCAACAAUUUUUUAUUAAAAGUGAUAGUGUUACAAUGCUUUUGACAAUGUCAUUGUUUAUUUUUUUUACAUAAUAGGAAGAUGCAACACAAUAUUAAAUUUUGGAGAACCAAACUUGCCCUAUCCAUUCUAUAAUGCUCUUAUGUGGUAUGAAGAAAGAGUUAAAACAAGUCAAAAUAUAAGGUAUUAUACAUUUACAUUGUGUUGCCAAUAAGGUACGGUUCGAUUACCAUUGUUUAGGCCUACCCUUGAAUUUUUACAUUGUGUAUUAGAUUAUGAAGGAGAUAAUAAGAGUAAAAAAUUUAAAGACAAUAAUUGGAGGAAAAAUAGAAAAUAGUGUAAACAAUACAACAAGUCCAUACAUCUUUAAAAUAAACAGUUAAAACCAUCAUCGACUUGGCCUUUUGCUUCCUAUGGUAGGACAAAAACCUAAGUUUGCCUACCUUUAUAUUUAUGAUAUUGAGAAUAAAACUUCAAAUAGAAUCUCAGUUUUUUCACAUUAAAGUACAAGUAAUGUCGUGGAUAGAUCUAUAAUAAAAGGUUUAAUUAAAAUGCUUGAUGAAAAUAACAAAAUAGUUAAAGUUUUUAAGAUAACAAGAGAUAGGUUCAAAAUGUCAAGCCAUAUCCCAAUUCGAUUAAGAUUGUUUGGAGUUAGGAAUAGUAACAAGAGAAUUUAUGUUAGUUCUAAUAGAUUAGAAGUUGCUAGAUUGAUUAUUGGGGAUUUAGGUGAAUUUGAUCAAAAUUGUGACAUUAUUGUUAAACAUAGAGCUAAAGGGCUAAAAAGAAUAAGUGAGCUUCACCUUUUUUUCAUGGCUAUGCAACAUCCAUUAUUAUUUCCUUAUGGAGAGGACAGAUACAUGCUAGAUAUAAAUUAUAUUGACUCUUUGGUAAAAUAAAUGCCAAAAGGAAAAAAACAUGUCAAUAAGAAAAUAUUAUGCUUUUGUUGUUCAACAACGUAAUCCUACACAGAGUAUGUUAUUAAGAGGUGGUAGAUUAUUCAACAGUUUGUUGUUGAUUCAUUCUUUGCAAUGGUUGAGAUGAUAUUGCAGUACAUAAGAAAUAAAAACAAAUAUGAGGUCGAAACUUUACAAAAGAUUGAAAGACGCUGUGUUAAGAGGUGAUAUACAAGGACAAACAAUUGGAAACAUGAAAUCUUACCUGCAACAUUUACGAGAAGUCUUCGAUAUCUAUUUCAAAAUUAUCAAGACAUAUUGUGGUAAUUUGUUAGUACAAUGGUUGUUCAGAUUUGUUCAUCACAUUCACUUGUAAUGCAAAAUGGCUAGAAAU